rnacentral:rRNA from 1 species
UACAGAGGGUGCGAGCGUUAAUCGGAAUUACUGGGCGUAAAGCGUGCGUAGACGGUUAUUUAAGUCGGGUGUGAAAGCCCCGGGCUCAACCUGGGAAUUGCAUUCGAGACUGAAUAGCUAGGGUACGGUAGAGGGUAGUGGAAUUCCCGGUGUAGUGGUGAAAUGCGUAGAUAUCGGGAGGAACACCCGUAGCGAAGGCGGCACUCUGGGCCGGUACUGACGCUGAGGAGCGAAAGCGUGGGGAGCAAACAGG